GAAGGUGAAUGUGAGCCUGUGUGGCUUUGUCAAGAAUGAACUGAGCCAGUUUAAUUUCCUCUUCUGCCAGUGUGGCAGGGCUUGCAGAUAAGGGAGAAGCAGUGUAUGUCAUAUCUUGAUUUUUUUUGUUGUUAUUUUUUUCCAGUAGAGCUUGUGACACAGGUUUGUAGGGUAGUCUAAUAAUAAACUGGAAAACCAGUCUAGAUUAUAUCAUUCUAACGGAGUUGCAGAACUGGUUGAGAUGAAAAUUCUUGGUACCACUACUUCUGCAGGGAACUACUCUGGGCCCAUUACUCAUAAGUAGUGAAAUGUAGAGGAUAAUUGCGGCACUUGAUCAUGCGUUCAAGUCAAAGGGCAGCAUGGGCAUGUGGUCAGAGAACUAGAGUUCAGAAUAGCAGCUCUGUGAAGAAAUAGGAUGCGGUUCAAUAACAGGUGCACAGUGAUACAGCAGCUUCAGCAACCUCAGAAUUGCAGGACAGGAGCAAAUGGGAACUGCCUUUUUUGCUAGAAAGGACGGAGGGGCUGUGCCAGUUCAGAACCUGAACAGUUGUUUUCUAGGUAGCGAGUAGCUUGAUGGUGACUGCUUUUACCCUCUGCCAGAUGAGAUCUGCGGUGAAGUGGAUCUUGUUGCAGUAGCUUGCAGAAGCGCUCGUGGCCCUCCAGGGCAGUGCCCACUCCAUCCAGGUGUGUCUGCAGCAGGUGAGGAGGAGUUCCUGCAGCUCUUUGCACUGGCAAGAUCACAUCGGAGGAUGUCCUGCAGAGGAUGCCUGCCCUCUGAAACUGAAAGACGUGUAUGAAAGAAUUUGAUUCUGCUUGAAUUCCAAGUAUUGCAGGACUGUUUGGAAACCCUUCCUACAGACAUAGAUGCCUUCCAGCACUCUGUUAUAAGCCAGCUGGAGUCUACCCYCUAAGAACAGCAAAGCAGCCUGGACAUUCAUCUGCAAAAGACAACAGGAUCAAUUUCAGACCUCACUGUACCAAGUCAUUCAGCUGUACCGAAUCACCAGACUUACCUAGCAGUCCCAUCUGGCCAUUUUUCACCUUGCCUCCCAGCUGAAGUCUUCUGCCCACAUGGAGCGGAUGGUGAAGGGGAUCAAGUGGCAGGAAAUAAACUGCGGGGGAAUCCCACCUGGCUGAGGAUCCCUCAGGCUGCUCUGCAGUGCUCUGCCCUCAAGGAUCUCUGUGCUUUCUGCAGAUCCUAUGACUAUUCCUCCCACUGGUACUUAUUUCAUUUUCCAGACCACCUGUGAGCCCCCCGAGCUCUGUGUGAGCAGCCACAGAUCAAUAUCACCUCCUGUUUUAUGAAUGGAGAAAAAGAAAUGUAGGGGGUUCAUUUCAAGACAAGGCAGAGCAAAGCARAGAACUCAUUUAUCCAGGUGCUUGCCAUUUGCUUUAGAUAAAUGAGAGAGAGACAAGGAAAUGGGCCCUGGACACGACCUGACAUUGAAAGAAGUUGCUCCCCCUCAGUUUAAUAGGAGCCUGCAACAGAAAGAUCAAGCACUGUCAAUUCAGAGACAGGCUGCACUCGAAAUGGAGUUUCCAAGCAGGAAGACUCRGAGAAACAGCCCCUUUGAGGUGAAAAUUAGAGCAUUUGUGUUGAAUUUGUAACUGACUAUUCACCCUGAAAACCUUAUUUAAGAGCUCAGCAUGUCCUGUCAGGAGCAGAAUAAUACCACAAAAACCAUGGCCAGCUUGAAUUUUGAACAUUGCGGGUUGUGAUUAGCUUCCCAGGAAUGCAUCCAGAACAAGUCAUAUUUGCUUGCCUUUUCUAAGUAAUUAUUUCAGACCAUAAAUGCAUGAGUGAAGUUCGCAAACAGUUCUCAGACAGACAUCUUACAGAAGGAKGUGAAAUGCAUCAUAUAAAUAAUGGAUUCUGAGCUGUUCACCCAAGUAUAAUGUGCAUAAACGUCCAUUUUGCCUGCUCAGGAGAAAUGGGCUGCGGAGAGAGCAAUCAGAUCUCUCUGUGAAGUGAUCCAGGUCAAAAUGGCAAACCUUAAAUAGAUAUAAGCUUACUGAGCCCAGAGACAGAUCUGCAACAGCUACAACUCAAAUUGCUUCUUGAGUAACAUAGGUGCCUCUCAUGAUUUUAAUAAAAUGUCAUUGCAGUUUCCCUAGCGCAGGCCGUGGUGUCUCCUGGAUGGUCCCUGGCCACGCUGUUCUCCAUGCUGACCAGCACAUCACCGCGCUGUGCAAAUCCCACUGUGACAGGCUGCUGGACUGGGGCUGCUUCAUCCAGUCACGUCCCAUUAGAGCGAUUGUAUUAUCUGGUAAAGAUGUUUUUGCAGGUCUGCUUAGAAAAUGAAGGAGAUGUAUUGGGCUGUGAUAUCUGUGGAUAGCCUGUCG